GUGAAAUGCCUGAUUUUAAAGGAUUAUUAUGAUAGAAUAAAUAAUGUAAUUCACUUAUUACUUUCACUA
rnacentral:tRNA from 1 species